GAUGAACGCUGGCGGCGUGCCUAAUACAUGCAAGUCGAGCGAACAGACGAGGAGCUUGCUCCUCUGACGUUAGCGGCGGACGGGUGAGUAACACGUGGAUAACCUACCUAUAAGACUGGGAUAACUUCGGGAAACCGGAGCUAAUACCGGAUAAUAUAUUGAACCGCAUGGUUCAAUAGUGAAAGACGGUUUUGCUGUCACUUAUAGAUGGAUCCGCGCCGCAUUAGCUAGUUGGUAAGGUAACGGCUUACCAAGGCAACGAUGCGUAGCCGACCUGAGAGGGUGAUCGGCCACACUGGAACUGAGACACGGUCCAGACUCCUACGGGAGGCAGCAGUAGGGAAUCUUCCGCAAUGGGCGAAAGCCUGACGGAGCAACGCCGCGUGCGGGAUGACGGCCUUCGGGUUGUAAACCGCUUUCGCCUGUGACGAAGCGUGAGUGACGGUAAUGGGUAAAGAAGCACCGGCUAACUACGUG
rnacentral:rRNA from 1 species